rnacentral:lncRNA from 1 species
GAGUAGGAGCUGGUGGAAGCGCAGGGGAGAAAAACCCAGGCUGAGUGGCAUCCAGGGUGGUGUCACAGGACCGGUUUCUGCCAGGAUGCCAAGGAGGUCUCUAAGUAGAACUGUGGAUAUGAGGAAGAAAGGUUGCCAGGCCCAGGGAGCGGUAUGUACAAAACUGCUGAGCAGGGUCAGGGCCUGCCAGUGAGAGGAGUACUUGAGGUGGGUGUGGUUGAGACGAGGGAUGGAGAUGGAGAGCAGAGAGAAAGGGAGCAGGUUCGGCAGUAAAAUCCUUACAGGUACCAUCACACCAGAGACAGCCGGAUGGGAAACAACUCAGACGAGUGUUGAAGGCACACAGCUGGUAACUGGAAGUGCCUGGCUGGACAGCCAUCCACCAUGAUGUCAGGGUUACCAAUUCUGGGUUGCUAACUGUUGCCACGAAGCGAACAAUCUUGGGUAAGACGACUGGGCACUGCUUGUUUCUGCUGCUACCUGUAAGCAUAUUUAGCAAGUGGUCUCUUGACUUUUCUAGCCCUCGGUUUGCUUAUCUGUGCCCUAGAACUGAUUCUGCCUGUCAGAUGACUGGCUGGGAGCUGAGCCUGCCUGUGAUAUGGUGAGUGGUUACAAAACAUAACCCCCAAAACUCAGGUCUAACCCUACCAUGCUUUUUGGUGGACAUGGGUUCAGGGACCUAUGGUACUGAGUCUACAGGCCUCGGGGCUUUACAAAGGCGGUUCUGUGCAGGGAGGCCCAGAAGGCCAACAAAAACCUCAUACAAGUGAGAAUCCUUGGUUUCCUCCUGCAUCAUUCCUAGGGUCUGGCCCCGCUGUUCCUUUGUGGCAUCCAUCAUGUUUGUAAUCACUUGUUUAACAUCUGCCUGCUUCUCUUGGCUGCAUGUCCUUAUCUCAGCUGGCCUCGUGUGUUCCUGGGUCCCCAGCACUGAGCCGUCUGCUUGGAGCAUAAUGUUUUUAAGGAAAACAAACAGCCUGGCUGGCGGAAGGAACACGGGAACACAUACAUGGAUGCUCUUUGGAGCGGCUUGACUCAGUGACUCCUAAAGGAUCUGUUUCUGACCUAGGCUUGUUGGCCACAGAGCCAGUGUGAUCUUGGGCACACUUUCUCUGUAAAUUGAGGGGGUAAAUGAGAUAAGCGGGGGGCGUAGAACUGGAGCAUCUCAGGAGCCCUGGAGGAACCUGGGCAGCAGGAUUUGGGGGCAAGGGAACCAUAUCAGGAAACGCAAGAAGGUAGCAAGAUACACAAGGGGUUCGGAGACUCCAGGUAUUGGAUGGACGGGAGCUCGUGAUGUGUGGUGGGAUCUAUAUGUGCUAUGGCUGUGUGUGUUGAAUUCAAGUGUGUGACAUAUUACUGUAGAUAGGGAGGUGUGUGCUAGGAAGCGAAGGCACAGAGAGGGUAACCUUUUCACUGAUCUUCUUGGGGUGGGUAGUUUCAGUUCCUGUCACUUUGAAUAUCUAUGCCCCUUGGUCUCUGCCUUUCCAACCCUCACAGGGAACUAAGUGGGCCAGAUGCUGGGUGAUUUGUGGCAAAAAAAAAAAAAAAGAAGAAGAAGAAGAAGAUACAAUUUUUGCCUCUCAGGAAAGACCCUCAUAAAUCCAGAGAUAAUACCAGGAGGAGCGGGGCAGGACAGAGAUGCUAAAGGCCUCCAAGGUCAAGCUAUUGGGCUUGGACUUAGGCCUCCUGAAGUGGGAAGUCUAGCGAAGCCUUCAGAUGAUCCUGACUAUGGCGUUGCAGAUGGAGUGAUACCGAGAGCGAGAGCUCCUCACAGAAACCGAGCUUUUUUUGUGGGCAGUCUAACUCAGCACCUGUGUGCAUGCUGCGUCUGAGUGUGUAUGGUAGUGUGUGUGUUAAGGGUGGACCCACUGCCUCCGCGAGAGGGAAUUCAAUCAUUGCAAUCGUUGCCGGUCCUCCGUGGCACAGGGUCGCUCAGCAAGCUGGCACUGGAAUAUUUUGAGCUUGCGGUAAUGAAAGAAAGCUCACAGCAAUUUGGCCCAUCUUCAGUCUUGAAAGCCGCAGCGCGACAUUCAGUCAUCGGAGGCUGGGAUUAUCCAACGCUAAUGGGGGCUGCUGCUCUCAGGCCGGUGAGGGAAAGGAGGGCUCAGAGAGGUUAAGUGACUUGCCCAGCAUCACAGGAUGGGUAAUGGGAGGGCAAAGUCCGAGGCGCAGUUUGGCCUCUUCCCCUCCCCCAAGGCAACCCGGCUCCCCAGAAUGGAUCUUUGCUGAGUUUCCUGAGCGCUGGUUUCCAUAGCAGCAGGCCAUUCCUGCACAAUAGAUUCCUCCUCUUCCCUGGGCUUCCUGGCUGUGGAGGCUGCAGGGGCGGGGAUGCUCCAUCGUAGGGGACUGUUGGGUGCAGGCUUCCAGGAGUGAAAAGGGCCACUUGGGCGGCUUGGGGGCCUCCAGCCCUCACAGAAACCCCACCUCCGUCCCACACCGUGUUCAGGGUUUCUAUUUCCACUCCGGAGUUGGGU